CUGCAAAGUAAUUUUUACAUUUAGUUUCGACCUAAAACCCUGGGAUUAUUAUAAUACCCUGCAUG
rnacentral:tRNA from 1 species